AGAGUUUGAUCCUGGCUCAGAUUGAACGCUGGCGGCAUGCCUUACACAUGCAAGUCGAACGGCAGCACGGGGGCAACCCUGGUGGCGAGUGGCGAACGGGUGAGUAAUACAUCGGAACGUGUCCUGUAGUGGGGGAUAGCCCGGCGAAAGCCGGAUUAAUACCGCAUACGAUCUACGGAAGAAAGCGGGGGAUCGCAAGACCUCGCGCUAUAGGGGCGGCCGAUGGCAGAUUAGCUAGUUGGUGGGGUAAAGGCCUACCAAGGCGACGAUCUGUAGCUGGUCUGAGAGGACGACCAGCCACACUGGGACUGAGACACGGCCCAGACUCCUACGGGAGGCAGCAGUGGGGAAUUUUGGACAAUGGGGGAAACCCUGAUCCAGCAAUGCCGCGUGUGUGAAGAAGGCCUUCGGGUUGUAAAGCACUUUUGUCCGGAAAGAA
rnacentral:rRNA from 1 species